UGUGAGGUGAUGAUUAUUUUCCCAAAUGAUUGAAGGUGAAUAUAUUGAGCAAUUUUCUCUCAAUAUAUUUUGGGAGUGCAAGCCAGAUUUCUGAUCCUU
rnacentral:snoRNA from 1 species